UGGCCAUAUCACGUCGAAACACCGCUUCUCAUACGAUCAGCGAAGUUAAGCAACGUCGAGCCUGGUCAGUACGUAGAUAGGUGACAACUUGGGAUUA